rnacentral:tRNA from 1 species
CUCAGACUGGCUCAGAUGGUACAGCGUCUGCCUCCAAUGCAGGAGACCCGGGUUCGAUCCCUGGGUCUGGAA